GAGGUAGUGCAGUGGAUCAGUGCAUCUGGCUGUUCAUCAGAAGGUUCGUGGUUUGAGCCCACGCAGGGAUG